ACUCAAAGGAAUUGACGGGGGCCCGCACAAGAGGCGGAGCAUGUGGCUUAAUUCGACGCAACGCGAAGAACCUUACCAAGGCUUGACAUACAUCGGAAACCUGUAGAGAUAUGGGCUCCCUUUUGUGGUCGGUGUACAGGUGGUGCAUGGCUGUCGUCAGCUCGUGUCGUGAGAUGUUGGGUUAAGUCCCGCAACGAGCGCAACCCUUGUCCUGUGUUGCCAGCAACCUCUUUGGAGGGUUGGGGACUCACGGGAGACUGCCGGGGUCAACUCGGAGGAAGGUGGGGACGACGUCAAGUCAUCAUGCCCCUUAUGUCUUGGGCUGCACACGUGCUACAAUGGCCGGUACAGUGAGUGGCGAUGCCGUGAGGUGGAGCGAAUCUCAAAAAGCCGGUCUCAGUUCGGAUUGGGGUCUGCAACUCGACCCCAUGAAGUCGGAGUCUCUAGUAAUCGCAGAUCAGCAGUGCUGCGGUGAAUACGUUCCCGGGCCUUGUACACACCGCCCGU
rnacentral:rRNA from 1 species